AGGACGAACGCUGGCGGCGUGCCUAACACAUGCAAGUCGAGCGAGGAGAUCCUUCGGGAUGAUCCUAGCGGCGGACGGGUGAGUAACACGUGGGCAACCUGCCUCAUAGAGAGGAAUAGCCUUCCGAAAGGGAGAUUAAUACCUCAUAACAUUGCAGUUUCGCAUGGAACAGCAAUUAAAGGAGUAAUCCGCUAUGAGAUGGGCCCGCGGCGCAUUAGCUAGUUGGUGAGGUAACGGCUCACCAAGGCGACGAUGCGUAGCCGACCUGAGAGGGUGAUCGGCCACAUUGGGACUGAGACACGGCCCAGACUCCUACGGGAGGCAGCAGUGGGGAAUAUUGCACAAUGGGGGAAACCCUGAUGCAAGCAACGCCGCGUGAGUGAUGACGGCCUUCGGGUUGUAAAGCUCUGUCUUCAGGGACGAUAAUGACGGUACCUGAGGAGGAAGCCACGGCUAACUACGUGCCAGCCGCUGC
rnacentral:rRNA from 1 species